UACGAAGGGGGCUAGCGUUGUUCGGAUUUACUGGGCGUAAAGCGCACGUAGGCGGAUCUUUAAGUCAGAGGGGAAAUCCCAAGGCUCAACCUUGGAACUGCCUUUGAUACUGGGGAUCUUGAGUCCGGGAGAGGUGAGUGGAACUGCGAGUGUAGAGGUGAAAUUCGUAGAUAUUCGCAAGAACACCAGUGGCGAAGGCGGCUCACUGGCCCGGUACUGACGCUGAGACGCGAAAGCGUGGGGAGCAAACAGG
rnacentral:rRNA from 1 species